rnacentral:rRNA from 1 species
UACAGAGGUCCCAAGCGUUGUUCGGAUUCACUGGGCGUAAAGGGUGCGUAGGUGGCCGGGUAAGUCUGACGUGAAAUCUCCAAGCUCAACUUGGAAACUGCGUCGGAUACUAUCCGGCUAGAGGAUCGGAGGGGAGACUGGAAUACUUGGUGUAGCAGUGAAAUGCGUAGAUAUCAAGUGGAACACCAGUGGCGAAGGCGGCUCACUGGACCGGAACUGACGCUGAGGCGCGAAAGCGUGGGGAGCAAACAGG